UACAGAGGGUGCGAGCGUUGUCCGGAAUCACUGGGCGUAAAGGGCGCGUAGGUGGUGGCUUAAGCGUGCGGUGAAAGCUCGGGGCUCAACCCCGAGUCGGCCGUGCGAACUGGGCUCACUGGAGCAUAGUAGAGGCAGGUGGAAUUCCGGGUGUAGCGGUGGAAUGCGUAGAGAUCCGGAAGAACACCGGUGGCGAAGGCGGCCUGCUGGGCUAUGGCUGACACUGAGGCGCGACAGCG
rnacentral:rRNA from 1 species